AGAAUAUGAAAUUAAAACAUAGAGCUGGAGAAGGAGCUGGAGGUGUACGGAAAAGCCAACCUGUCACUUCAGACAAACCUCGAUGAGGUUCUGAAAUGGGCCCUCUUCAACAAUCACUUUUGCACACAAAACCCAAUCCAAUUUAACAUUAAGAUGAGGAUGAGGAGCCCAAGGAUGUGCACAGAUUCGCCAAAGCCCCCAAAGUGUUAUUUCCAGCAACCCAACAAACCAGUCAGGACAGCCAACCAUCACCUCCAAGGAUAUAUCAGACCUUCCAACGCCCCAGUUCCCCCAAGUUGACUCACGCCAGUGUCCCUUUCCGAGCAUCGUUCUCUGGAGAUGAAUUGGCCUUUUCUCCACUCGGUCCCAUGCAUCUACUCCAGAGGCCAUCCUCCAAAGAUUCUACAGGCACUGCCAGAGUGGCAUUAAAAGG